rnacentral:rRNA from 1 species
UACGUAGGGUGCAAGCGUUGUCCGGAAUUAUUGGGCGUAAAGAGCUCGUAGGCGGUCUGUCACGUCGGCUGUGAAAAAUCAGGGCUCAACCCUGGACCUGCAGUCGAUACGGGCAGACUAGAGUCCGGCAGGGGAGACUGGAAUUCCUGGUGUAGCGGUGAAAUGCGCAGAUAUCAGGAGGAACACCGGUGGCGGAAGGCGGGUCUCUGGGCCGGAACUGACGCUGGAGGAAGCGGAAAAGGCGUGGGGAGCGAACAGG